GUAACAAGGUCUCCGUAGGUGAACCUGCGGAGGGAUCAUUACAAGAACGCCCGGGCUUCGGCCUGGUUAUUCAUAACCCUUUGUUGUCCGACUCUGUUGCCUCCGGGGCGACCCUGCCUUCGGGCGGGGGCUCCGGGUGGACACUUCAAACUCUUGCGUAACUUUGCAGUCUGAGUAAACUUAAUUAAUAAAUUAAAACUUUUAACAACGGAUCUCUUGGUUCUGGCAUCGAUGAAGAACGCAGCGAAAUGCGAUAAGUAAUGUGAAUUGCAGAAUUCAGUGAAUCAUCGAAUCUUUGAACGCACAUUGCGCCCCCUGGUAUUCCGGGGGGCAUGCCUGUUCGAGCGUCAUUUCACCACUCAAGCCUCGCUUGGUAUUGGGCAACGCGGUCCGCCGCGUGCCUCAAAUCGUCCGGCUGGGUCUUCUGUCCCCUAAGCGUUGUGGAAACUAUUCGCUAAAGGGUGUUCGGGAGGCUACGCCGUAAAACAACCCCAUUUCUAAGGUUGACCUCGGAUCAGGUAGGGAUACCCGCUGAACCUAAGCAUAU
rnacentral:misc_RNA from 1 species